rnacentral:rRNA from 1 species
CAACAGGGAUUGCCUUAGUAACGGCGAGUGAAGCGGCAAAAGCUCAAAUUUGAAAUCUGGCGCCUUCGGUGUCCGAGUUGUAAUUUGAAGAAGGUAACUUUGGUGUUGGCUCUUGUCUAUGUUCCUUGGAACAGGACGUCACAGAGGGUGAGAAUCCCGUGCGAUGAGAUGUCCAAUGCUAUGUAAAGUGCUUUCGAAGAGUCGAGUUGUUUGGGAAUGCAGCUCUAAGUGGGUGGUAAAUUCCAUCUAAAGCUAAAUAUUGGCGAGAGACCGAUAGCGAACAAGUACAGUGAUGGAAAGAUGAAAAGAACUUUGAAAAGAGAGUGAAAAAGUACGUGAAAUUGUUGAAAGGGAAGGGCUUGAGAUCAGACUGGUAUUACAUAUGUUUUGCUUUCGGGUAGGGCCUCUAUGUGGUAUCGGGCCAGCAUCGGUUUGGAUGGUAGGAUAAUGACAUUGGAAUGUGACUCUGCUACGGUAGAGUGUUAUAGCCUUUGUUGAUGCUGCCUGUCUAGACCGAGGACUGCGUCUUUGACUAGGAUGUUGGCAUAAUGAUCUUAAGUCGCCCGUCUUGAAACA